UACAGAGGAUGCAAGCGUUGUUCGGAAUCACUGGGCGUAAAGCGCACGUAGGCGGACUUUCAAGUCAGGGGUGAAAUCCCGGAGCUCAACUUCGGAAUUGCCUUUGAUACUGUUGGUCUCGAGUCCGGAAGAGGUGGGUGGAAUUCCUAGUGUAGAGGUGAAAUUCGUAGAUAUUAGGAAGAACACCGGUGGCGAAGGCGGCCCACUGGUCCGGUACUGACGCUGAGGUGCGAAAGCGUGGGGAGCAAACAGG
rnacentral:rRNA from 1 species